rnacentral:rRNA from 1 species
GACGAACGCUGGCGGCGUGCCUAAUACAUGCAAGUAGAACGCUGAAGGAGGAGCUUGCUUCUCUGGAUGAGUUGCGAACGGGUGAGUAACGCGUAGGUAACCUGCCUGGUAGCGGGGGAUAACUAUUGGAAACGAUAGCUAAUACCGCAUAAGAUUGACUAUUGCAUGAUAGUCAGUUAAAAGGUGCAAUUGCAUCACUACCAGAUGGACCUGCGUUGUAUUAGCUAGUUGGUGGGGUAACGGCUCACCAAGGCGACGAUACAUAGCCGACCUGAGAGGGUGAUCGGCCACAAUGGGACUGGGACACGGCCCAGACUCCUACGGGAGGCAGCAGUAGGGAAUCUUCGGCAAUGGACGGAAGUCUGACCGAGCAACGCCGCGGGAGUGAAGAAGGGUUUCGGAUCGUAAAGCUCUGUUGUAAGAGAGGAACGAGUGUGAGAGUGGAAAGUUCACACUGUGACGGUAUCUUACCAGAAAGGGACGGCUAACUACGUG